rnacentral:rRNA from 1 species
UACGAAGGGUGCUAGCGUUGUUCGGAAUCACUGGGCGUAAAGCGCGCGUAGGCGGCGAUACAAGUCAGGGGUGAAAGCCCACAGCUCAACUGUGGAAUUGCCUUUGAAACUAGAUUGCUAGAGUGUCGGAGGGGAUAGCGGAAUUGCUAAUGUAGAGGUGAAAUUCGUAGAUAUUAGCAGGAACACCGGUGGCGAAGGCGGCUAUCUGGACGACAACUGACGCUGAGGCGCGAAAGUGUGGGGAUCAAACAGG